GUGAGGAAUAUUGCGCAAUGGAGGCAACUCUGACGCAGCCAUGCCGCGUGCAGGAAGAAGGCGCUACGCGUUGUAAACUGCUUUUAACCGGGAAGAAACCCCAGGACGUGUCCUGGGUUGACGGUACCGGAGGAAUAAGCACCGGCUAACUUCGUGCCAGCAGCCGCGGUAAUACGAAGGGUGCAAGCGUUAUCCGGAUUCAUUGGGUUUAAAGGGUGCGUAGGCGGAGCGUUAAGUCAGUGGUGAAAUCCUGCAGCUUAACUGUAGACUUGCCAUUGAUACUGGCGCGCUUGAGUGCGCUUGAAGUGGGCGGAAUGUGCCGUGUAGCGGUGAAAUGCUUAGAUAUGGCACAGAACACCAAUUGCGAAGGCAGCUCACUAAGGCGAUACUGACGCUGAGGCACGAAAGCGUGGGGAUCGAACAGGAUUAGAUACCCCGGUAGUCC
rnacentral:rRNA from 1 species